rnacentral:rRNA from 1 species
UGGGAAGUCUUGCGCAAUGGCCGAAAGGCUGACGCAGCGACGCCGCGUGUGGGAGGACGCCUUUCGGGGUGUAAACCACUGUUGCCCGGGACGAACACGUGGUUUCGACCACGCUGACGGUACCGGGUGAGGAAGCACCGGCUAACUCCGUGCCAGCAGCCGCGGUAAUACGGAGGGUGCGAGCGUUGUCCGGAAUCAUUGGGCGUAAAGGGCGCGUAGGUGGCCCUGGUAAGCGUGCGGUGAAAGCUCGGGGCUCAACCCCGAGUCGGCCGUGCGAACUGCCGGGACUCGAGCACUGUAGAGGCAGGCGGAAUUCCGGGUGUAGCGGUGGAAUGCGUAGAGAUCCGGAAGAACACCGGUGGCGAAGGCGGCCUGCUGGGCAGUGGCUGACACUGAGGCGCGACAGCGUGGGGAGC